rnacentral:lncRNA from 1 species
GAUCAUGGACCUUUAAUGGGUCAAUAUACAUUCAAACAAUCACAGAUGAAGUUGUCAAAAUAAAUAGUACACUUGAUCUGAAGAAAUAUCAAACUAAGCCACCAGAACUGAAACAAUAUUAAAUAGAAUAAGUCAGUUACAUAUAACUGGCCAGUGAAGAACUGUGUUCAAGAUUUAAAAGAGUAUUACAUGUAUAUGUGGAAACUGAUUAUAUAUAUCUGAGUAUAUAUCUAAAUUAGUUUUGAAACCUAUGAUUAGUUUUGUAUGUAAACUAGAAAGGAGAUGUUAUGUUUGAUCUCCUAGUUUAUACUAUGCAUACAGCCACAUUCAAAAUGUUUAGACAUUAACCAUAUUGUCUUGGCCUGAUAUAUGACAUUGUCAAUUUGUAACGAGAUACGUGUAUUUCUCUUUUUUUACAUGCAAAAUCAUGGAAAUACAAAGUAAUAAAUACAGUUGGAAAUACAAAGGAAUAAAUACAGUUGGAAAUACAAUGGAAUAAAUACAGUUGGAAAUACAAAGUAAUACGUACAGUUGGAAAUACAAUGGAAUAAAUACAGUUGGAAAUACAAUGGAAUAAAUACAGUUGGAAAUACAAAGGAAUAUGUACAGUUGGAAAUACAAAGUAAUACGUACAGUUGGAAAUACAAAGGGAUACAGUUAUUCUGUGACGCGUCUUAAGAGUCGGGAAGGUCAUUGAUGAAACAAAGGAAGAGACAAGGACCCAACACUGAACCUUGGGGAAUCCCCUGAAAGAACUGGUAAAGAAUCAGAGUGUGCGCCUUCAACUACUACAGAUUGAGAACAAUUACUAAAGAAAGAUUGAAUCCACGAUAGCUGCUUUGUUAACACCAAGUUUCAUAAGUUUAUAGAGAAGAAGUUGAUGAUUGACUUUGUCGAAGGCUUUCGAGAAAUCCAUUACAAUGAGAUGUUUGUUUUCCAGAUUGGAGAUUGUCGAAAAUUUCCUGUGUGAAGGAUAAUAGUCAAGUCUCACAGCUAUAUUUAGAACGGAAGCCAUGUUGGAAAGGUGUGAGAAGAUUGUUGUUGUCGAGAUGGCGCAUGAUGUUUGAGAACAUGAUAUGCUCCAUUAGUUUGGAAGCUAUGCAAGUCAAAGAAAUUGGCCGAUUGUUGCUGGCUUUAUAUUUAGGACCCUUUUUGUAUACAGGUGCAACAAUAGCAGUUUUCCAGUCCUCUGAAACUAUACCAGUUCUCAGUGACUUCUGGAAGACUUUAGUGAGAAAAGGAGCUGUUUCGAUAGAAAGUUCUUUAAGUAAUCUUGGCAACAGCUGAUCCGGACCAGACGCCUUGUUUGGAUUUAGAUCCUUGAGCAUUUUCAAAACACCUUCUACAGUUAUAUCAAUGUCGGACAUUUUAUUAACUUGUUGAAAUUUGUCACUUUCAAAGAGGUUUAAUUCGCAAAGUUGUUUAAGGCUGACUGGUUUAGGUUUUGAGAAAACAGAUUCAAAUUGUUUGUUUAGAAUUGUUGCUUUAUCAUAUGGUUUGGUGUAAGUUUUACCUUCAGAUUUUAAAGGUGCUACACCAUAAUUGUCUGUUUUUUAUGUUUUACGAAAGAAUAGAUUUUUUUUGUUUUUAUCAGAUUCUGAGUCAUUAGAAAAGAUUACCGAUUCUAAAUAUUCCCAAUAUGAUUUGCGUAUUUCUCUUUGGAUAGUGGCUUUAAGAAUAGUAAGUUGCUGUCUCGUUUUGCUAUAAUGUUCUUUUCCUUUAGCGUUUUUACAUUUAGUGUGUAAAUGAUCUUUUUAUGUAUCAUUUUAAUGAUCUUUUUUGUUACCCAGAGAAGAUCACUUCUGGGUUUAGUCAUUUUGGUUGGUAUAUAUUUACUUGUUAGUUCAUUGAUUUUAUUUUUAAAUUUUUCCCACAAUAUGUUUAAGUCAUUAGAUGAGAGUUUAACAAAAACAUUUCAUUGAGAUCAGACUUGAACGAAUCCCAGUCAACCUUUUUAAAUUGUUUGAUUUCACGUUUUACUUGACAAAGUCUGCCAAUUUUGAUGUUCAUUUCAUGAAAGACAGUACAGUAUUAUGAUCUGACGAUCCAAGACUAGGUAAUGUUUUGGUGGAAUGAACUUGAGACGGUUGGUUUGUCAAGAAUUUAUCAAGAACAUUG